UAGCUCAGUCGGUUAGAGCGUGAUGCUGAUAACACCAAGGUCACGAGUUUGAUUCCCGU
rnacentral:tRNA from 1 species